rnacentral:rRNA from 1 species
CCCUUAGACGUUCUGGGCCGCACGCGCGCUACACUGACCAGUGCAACAAGCAUCCGUCCUUGGCCGACAGGCUCGGGCAAUCUUUGAACGCUGGUCGUGAUGGGGAUAGACUUUUGCAAUUUUUGGUCUUCAACGAGGAAUUCCUAGUAAACGCAAGUCAUCAACUUGCAUUGAUUACGUCCCUGCCCUUUGUACACACCGCCCGUCGCACCUACCGAUUGAAUGGUCCGGUGAAGCCUCCGGAUUGGCGCGCACCUCGGUGCCGCCGAGAAGUUGGCUAAACCUUACCAUUUAGAGGAAGGUGAAGNCGUAANA